UCAGAGCAGGCAGAAGCAGCCCCCCGCUGCGACAAACAGCGCCUGAUAAAUCAGCUGCUGGAGUAACUGCCUGGUCUCUUUCUCCUUUAGCCACUGUGCAGAGCUGCUGCAGAACAAGCUUUUAGGAAAUACCGGGCCUCACCCCCUCCACCUGCACAGCAGGAAAUGUGCAUGUGUCCUUGUGUCCCUGCAGCUGGCAGCUGUGACCACUGUCCAAAUUAAUGAACACCAGAACAGGAAAUAUCACAAAGUGCUUCUUUGACCUUUCCUAGUCACAGUGUCCUUGUAAUUUGCAGGAGGCAUCGCAGAAGGAUUACAAAGGACCUCACAGAGCACAGAGGUGCGGGAUAGGACUUUGUGCCAUGCGCUGCUUGCUUGGGGCUGUCCGUGAGUGUGCUUUGUGUGUGCACCCCUAGGAACAGGUUCCCAAAGGAUGGUGAAUUCCCCAUCAUUUUGAAUCUUUGCCUGAAGUAAGGACACGCUCAUGCCAGAAACACUGAUGCUGACACAUCCUUGCCAUUGCACCUGCUAGCAGCAUCCCAGCCUGGACUGUAGGACCUCCUGCACUGCUGACACUUGCAAUUCUAAGCAAAAACACCAUAAAAAUCUUUCUGCCAGACAAACACACUCCAUCUCCUACUGACACCUGUUUUCCUCCCCUCCUGCCUAGGAGGGAGCUCAUUGCUCCAAUUGCUAAUAACCUUUCCCUGGUCUCCAUCCUAGAUUUAUUCAUAGCUGCUUCAUGCCCAUUUGUUCUCACGCCAACAUUGUCCCUAGGCUGAAAUAGCUCUUUUCUCUCCCAAGUGUAUUUAUAGACAGCCGUCACAUCCUCCCCUGGGCUUUUGUUUUGCUAAACUAAACAAGCCAAGCCCAGCAGCCCUGUC